rnacentral:rRNA from 1 species
CCUACGGGGGGCAGCAGUGGGGAAUUUUGCACAAUGGGCGGAAGCCUGAUGCAGCGACGCCGCGUGAGGGAUGACGGCUUUCGGGUUGUAAACCUCUUUUAUCCAUGACGAAGGCCUGGUUUUUGCCUGGUUGACGGUAGUGGUUGAAUAAGCGCCGGCUAACUACGUGCCAGCAGCCGCGGUAAGACGUAGGGCGCGAGCGUUGUCCGGAUUUAUUGGGCGUAAAGGGCUCGUAGGCGGCUCGUCGCGUCUGCCGUGAAAGACUACAGCUUAACUGUGGUUUUGCGGUGGAUACGGGCGGGCUUGAGGCCAGUAGGGGAGAUCGGAAUUCUACGUGUAGCGGUGAAAUGCGCAGAUAUGUGGAGGAACACCGGUGGCGAAGGCGGAUCUCUGGGCUGGUUCUGACGCUGAGGAGCGAAAGCAUGGGGAGCG